rnacentral:misc_RNA from 1 species
AGCUGUUCCCCUCUGGAGGUUUUGACCUUCAAACUUAUCAGGCCGCGGAAAUAUCCAGCGGCCUUUUUUUUUGCCGAUG